UCUCCCUGAGACUUUAAGUCUCCUGAAGGAACGUUAAAGACGAUGACGUUGAUAGGCCGGGUGUGUAAGCGCAGCGAUGCGUUGAGCUAACCGGUACUAAUGAACCGUGAGGCUUAACCUUACAACGCCGAAG
rnacentral:rRNA from 2 species